UUAUUUACUCUUACAAACCAAUAUACAUGUACUUUGACAUCAUACCCUUUGACAUCAUACCCUAGAUUAGGAAUUUGAUUACAAUCGGUUAUUAUAAAUAAAUUGUAGCUAAGUUUUAAUGCAAAAAUGUCUUACAUGGAUUAUUGAUAACUUCUUCAUUCAGACUUCCUUACCAGGCUAGUUUUUAAGAGAAGUUGAGAAUUGAUAUUUUGUUAGAAUACAUAUACCUGUGAAUUUGGUCAGAAAGUUAUAAAUGAGUGCAUGUAAAACAUUAACGUUUGAAUAAGAUAGCAUCCUCCAUGUUUAAUAUUUUCAAUGAAAUGGACAAACAUGGAAAGUGUGUUGAAUGAUAAAUCGGUCAAUGUACCUUACUCGAGUAUGGGAGACAGAAGCCUCAGGUGUUGGGAAGGAAGUGUACGCGAUUCGCUGGUAUGUGAUUGCACGUUGUAUCACUUGCCAAUAUCUUGAAUAAUUUUCUUUGGGCUACUUGGGGUUCAAUUUCGCAGUCAGCAUACCUGGUCUAUGGAUGGACGGAUGAAAAGUUGUUUUGGAUUGUCAACGUUGGAAAUAUAACAGGAUUUUUAUCAGUUUUAUUAGGCGUAUAUCUUGUUGAUUGUAAAGGAAUCCGUGUGUCAAUGGUUGUGUGUGCUGCUACAAUGGCUGUUGUCACAGCAACGAGAAUUGUAACAUUAAAGCCUGAAAUCGCCACAAUACUAAUUGCCAUUGGUCAAGGUUUGAACGGUAUAGGUACUAGUGUAACAAUGUGUAUUCCAACUGUCGUAUCAAAGACCUGGUUCAAAGUAACAGAAAGGACCACGGCCACGGCUGUUUCUGCUCUCGCAUCUGCCUUGGGUGCAGCGGCAGCUUACUUGUUCGGUCCAUUAACAGUUUCGAUGCCUAAAUUAAAUGGUACAGAAGUACUUCUAAAUGAAACAGAUACUUCGCUGAUAAAGUCACAGAUGAUGGAACUACAUUACAUAUCGUUUGGGUUCGCCAUACUGCUGAUGUUGUGCUGCAUCAUAUACCUCCCUUCCGCACCAAAGACUGCACCAAGCAAAACUGCAAGUAUUGAUAGGUACAGCUUGAAAGUUGGAAUAAUCCAGCUGGUAAAGAAUCCUUCUGUUUGGUGCAUAGCUGCCAUUUAUUCAAUUCCUGUUGGAUUCUAUGGAAAUUGGUCCUCAAUCUUAGAUGUUAUACUUAGUCCGUAUGGAAUUUCGCAAGCAGAUGCAGGCUGGAUGAAUUUCUAUGGUUCGAUAGGUGGGGUUACUUGUGGAGUUCUUCUCGGCAGGUGUGUUGAUCAUUUUCAAAGGAAAACGAAAAUUAAUCAUUAUUAUGUUGUAUAUAUGUGCCGCGGUGGAUUUUACAUUGUUUACGUGCACGUGUGUGGACAUUCUUCCUAAGUCGAAAGGGGUAUUUUAUACAACUGUUAUAUUAGGCAGUAUGAUUGUGAGCAGUAGCAGGCCACUUUUCCUGGAGAUGACGUGUGAAACGUCAUAUCCUGUGGCCGAGGGAGUUACUGCAGGUUUCCUUGGAAUGAUUGUGAAUUUAGGAAGCAGCAGUCUUUAUGUGCAUAGAACUUAUUCCUAACCUUGACACAGGCUGGGCAAACUGGGCUCUUGUUGGUGUUCAUAUCGUUGCUGUACCCCUCCUAGUAUUCUAUAAAGCUGAAUAUAAGAGAGUGGAUAUAGACAUUGUAACAGAUACAUCCAUAUCGUGACAGAUUUAUUUCAGAUGUUAACGGUUAUUCAAAAUGAAUCGAACUGUUUAAUAAUUGAAUAUUCUGAAGCUUUCACAAUUUUUCAACCGUUAUAAGUUAAACUUUGUUUCAGUGUUAAGGUUAAAACGAUAUCACAGAGAGAAUAUCAUACACAAAACAUGUAAUGAAAUUACAAAGUCAGCUGAUGAUACGGGAUUACACUAGGUUUUAAAAGCCCGCAAGGGUAUAGAAGAUUACCUUCUUCUGAUAGGACGAAUAUAUUAUAUAUAUUUAAAAUAACUACACGAAGAUCGUUUGGAAACACUGAAUACAACCAAGUAAAAUCAUUGCAGACUCAGUUUGGAUAUUAACGAAAGGAAAUGGAAUACAAGGUGCAUCUUAACAAAUUCUUUACUCGAAUCCCCUAAAUAUAUGUUAAAGGAUCAGAAAAUGUAAAUAACUUAAGUUCUCAGAUAAAACUUUUUUAACCGAUAAUCUAAGUUUUUUCGCAAUCACUGCAUUCGGCCUGUAGUUACCGUGAUUCUAAUUCUAUAUUUGUAAACAGUUCAAAACAUGGUGAAUGUAUAUGAAUUAUUAUUAUUAGAUGUGUAAACUAGUGUUACUAUUCAAAUGAUUACAUAAUUAAUGCACACGGACAAUAUUUUUGCUCAACCUUUUUUCUUCAAUAUUUAAUCUUCCUAUCUCCACAAACCCUUGAGUAGUCAGUGUUUAAAUCUUCCUAUCUUUACAAGCCCUUGGGUAGUCAGUGUUUAAUCUUCCUAUCCCACACAAGUUCUUGAGUAGUCAAUGUUUAAUCUUCCUAUCCCACACAAGUUCGUGAGUAGUCAAUGUUUAAUCUUCCUAUCCCACACAAGUUUUUGAGUAGUCAGUGUUUAAUCUUCCUAUCUUUGAGUAGCAAAUGUUUAGUCUUCCUGUCCCCAUCAACCCUUGAGUAGUCAAUGUUUUAAGUAGUCAAACAUCAUACUGUUGACUUCGUUUAUCUUUUUCUUCUUUCCUCUUUCUGUACAUAUGUUUGUAAUUUCUAUAGUUAUUCCAGACUAAAAUUCAGAAGUUCAUACAGGGAGGCAACUGCUAUUGACAAGUCAUAUCUUUCUACUGGUACAUUCCAAAGACAUGACGUUUUUUUUGUUUCUGCUUUUCAUUGUGACAAAAAUGAGUAAACACACAUCCAACGUCCUCAUGUAGACAUUGUAACUAAAAAAUUAAAACCGGAAUUUUUAACAUUUAUACUCCAAAUAUAUAUUGCUAAGUGCAUCAGAUAAUAUAUAUACAAUAUUAAAAUGCUGUGUGUUAUUUUUUAAAAGAGAUAUUUACUCCAAAAAAUUUAGUCCCCAUAACAUUUUUGGAUCUCAUCAAAUUUGCUGAUAUAAAAAUAAACUUAGGUAUUUUCCCAGGAUACCCUCAUUAAAGUAUGUUCAGACAUGGAAUGUAAACAAAUACAGGAACAACCUAACAGUACAAGGACA
rnacentral:misc_RNA from 1 species